rnacentral:rRNA from 1 species
UACGUAGGCGGUUCGGUAAGUCAGGUGUGAAAUCCCGGGGCUCAACCCCGGAACUGCACCCGAUACUGCCGGACUGGAGUAAUGGAGGGGCAGGUGGAAUUCUCGGUGUAGCAGUGAAAUGCGUGGAUAUCGAGAGGAAGACCAAUGGCGAAGGCAGCCUGCUGGACAUUUACUGACGCUGAGGUACGAAGGCCAGGGUAGCGAAAG